GGAGGAUGUGGCUUCCACCGUCUGGCGGGGCCUUUGUCUCCGGUCUGGCCGCCCGGCUCCCAUUCCGCCUCAUUGUUCUCUCCUUGGCUCAGGAGGCACUGGGUGGCUCUGCCACAGCCUCUGCCGCCCUGUGACCUUGGAGAUCCUUAAGCAGGAUGCCAGAACAUUCCGGAAGCCAGGAAAUAGCUGGAGUGCAAUGGCACGAUCUCGGCUCACUGCAACCUCUACCUCCCGGGUUCAAGUGAUUCUCCUGCCUCAGCCUCCUGAGUAACUGGGAUUACAGUUUUUGGCAAUUAUUAACAAGAUUGCUAUCAAUGUCCCCAUGAAGACUUGUGUGGACAUCAGUUUUUAACUCAUUUAGGUCUCCUAGCACAGACACCAACCCUGGAGUUCCUGGUACAUCAGCAUCAACCUGGAGAUCACUUCCUCAUCAAAGGGUGGAAAGAAGGGAGACUUGAGCCAGCUUAGGAAGGAUCAUAUCUAAUGAUCCCGACUACUGAAACUGCAGUCUGAACAGCAGAAAGAGGGUGGACUUAAGUCCUUUGACACUCGAGUCAAAGAGGCACUACCGCCACCUUUAGAAUCAUGGGCCAUUGUUCCAGGGUCAAGCCCUACCAAAUUAAAGCUAAGAAAGAGUUAACUCUCCUUUACCUAUUGUGCUGUCUCUCCCUCUUUCCUUAUUCCACUGCUAGCCAUUUCGUUAUUAGUAUAACUAGGUCUGACUCACCCCAAACCAUUGUUUUUGAUGCUUGUCUUAUUACACCUUGUGGGGAUUUAAAGAACCAAAGGCAACUAGCUUCCUCAGACAGAUAUCUCUGCCCUGGCCCCCUAGCUUCCUCUGUUGCCCCUAGUUCUCACCCCUAGUUCUCAUCUACAACCAAGACACCGUUUCUUUAUUCCCACAGCCUGGGAACCUUGCAGUGAUUGGGACUACGUCCUUUGGACCACUCAAAACCAAUGUUGGACUUCUAUGGGGGUGGGGGGUUUGUGUCAAUCUAAAGACCCUCCUCCACUUUACCAAAGGAACUACUUUCCCUGAUUGCCAAUCCCAAUGUAACCCUAUUCUCAUUUCUUCUAUUACCCCUACCUCCACCGAUCCUCAGCCUGCCCUCAGUUGCUUCUAUGGAAUCGGGGCCAAUAUCAAUGGAAAAGAUCCUAUAGGUAUUUUUGAAAUAUAUUAUUACUCCUUCUCCUCCUCCUUCCCCACCCCCAAAAGCUUCAGCUGUAAAUCAGACAUCUGUUAUUACUAUACCUAAUAAUAGGACUAAGGUGUCAGUUGUAAAAGUAAAUGACUCGAAACAAACCUUAACAAUUGAGACAGGAUACAAAGAUGUAAAUGCCUGGCUGGAAUGGAUUAAAUAUUUCAUCUGCACUUUGAACAAAAGCGACUGUUACGCCUGUGCACACGGUAGGCCAGAGGCCCAGAUUGUCCCCUUUCCACUUGGAUGGUCUCUCUGUCGACUGGGCAUGAGCUGUGUGGUGGCUUUUUUCAAAAAUCCCACAGGCUAGGAUGAUAAAUCAUGCCAAGCUCUCUCCUUGCUCUUCCCAGGGGUUUGAUACCCUGUGGGUCAGCCCCUGAGGGUCAUUCAGGCUCCGCCUCUCAAUGCCAAAUUUACUUGAUGUCUCUCAUGACAGGGAAAACUUGACAUUUCUCGGAAGCUUAAAGGAAUGCAAAGAGCUUAGGCCCUUUCAAGAGCUUGCCCAUCAGUCUGUCCUUAGCCAUCCCCAAGUGGAUGUAUGGUGGUAUUGUGGACUUUUACUGGACACUCUGCCAAGUAACUGGGGCAGAACUUGUGCUCUAGUCCAGUUGGCCAUCCCUUUCACCCUGGCAUUUCAUCAACCCGAGAAAGUAAAAGCAAAACGCCAUGCAUCAAGAGAGGUUCCUUAUGAGUUAUUUGAUCCACAGGUCUAUAUAGAUGCUAUCGGGGUUCCACGAGGAGUGCGCAAUGAAUUCAAAGCUCAAAACCAAAUAGCUGCCAGGUUUAAAUCUGCAUUGUUCUGAUGGGUAACUAUCAAUAAAAAUGUAGAUUGGAUAAACUACAUUUACUGUGAUACCCAACCUUGUUUUAACCUGCAUUGACUCUCCCUUAGCUGAGAGAGCCAGACAGACUCCAUCUCGGCUCCUUCACUUACAGCCCCUUACCAACCCCCUUCCUCAAGGACUUAACUUGUGCAAGCAGACUUCCAGCACAUCCAAGGAUGCAAUUAACUGAUAAGAUACUGUGGCAAGCUAUAUCCACAGUUCCUAGGAACUCGCCUGGUUGAUAGCAUCCAUAGCCCCAGCUUUGUGUCCGGUUGAUAUCACCCAAAGCCCCAUGUCCAUCAUCUUUUAAUAGAUUUAAAGCCCCUGCACCUGGAACUGUUUGCUUUCCUGUAACCAUUUAUCCUUUUAACUUUUUGCAUGCUUUGCUUCUGUAAGAUUGUUUUAACUAGACUCCCCAACUCCCCUUUCUAAACCAAAGUAUAAAAGAAAAUCUAGCCCCUUCUUUGGGGCAGAGAGAAUUUUGAGCACUAGCCAUCUCUUGGUCGCUGGCUAAUAGACUCCUGAAUUCAUCUCAGUGUGUGGAGUUUCUCUGUAACUUGCACAGUUACAGCAUUUGGAGGCCCCAGAGAGAUUUUAUAUGCCAUCGGGUGUGAGCCGGACUCACUCCGGGCUUCCCUGGACAGAUGCCAGCUUAUAGGGGCAGCCCCACCUGAAGAUGUUCCAGGGACCCCUAGGCCACUGUCUUCCUGAGGGGAAUGGAUUGACUACUGGUGUGUGUGCCCAACCAAAUUCAACUCCUGAGUCCAGUUUUGGUCCAGGGAAGGGUGUUUAAAUCCAGCUACUUUUAUCCCAGAUCCAGACUUCACCGCACUUGUCCAUGACUGCCAGGAGCUGUUAGACUACAGAAACGGCCUGACGUGAUCUCCAAGUUGUGCCUUUAAAGGAGGCAGAUGCCACUGUGUUUACAGACAGUAGCAGCUUCCUUGAGCAGGGAGUUCGAAAGGCUGCUGCAGCCAUCACUAUGGAGACAGAUAUACUGUGGGCCCAGGCACUACCAGCAGGUACCUCGGCACAGAGGGCUGAGUUGGUUGCCCUCACUCAGGCCAUCUGAUGGGGUAAGGACAAACGUAUUAACAUUUACACUGACAGCAGGUAUGCUUUUGUUACUGUGCAUGUGCACAGAACCAUCUACCAAGAGCGUGGGCUACUCACCUCAGCAGGAAAGACUAUCAAGAACAAAGAAGAAAUUUUAGCCCUGCUUGAAGCUGUUUGGCUCCCUCAGCAGGUGGCUGUAAUUCACUACACAGGACAUCAAAGAGAGGAGAUGGCCGUUGUUCGUAGUAACCAAAGAGCAGACUCUGCAGCUCGGGAGGCAGCUUGGCUUCCAGUCGUGCCUCUGACCCUGCUACCUGCAGUGUCCUUUCCUCAACCUGACUUAUUAGAUCAUCCCGAAUACUCCACAGAGGAAGAAAGACAGGCUUUGGAUCUUCAGGCCAGUAAAAAUCAGGAAGGUUGGUGGAUUCUUCCUGAUUCCAGAAUCUUCAUGCCCCAAGCCCUCAGAAAACUUUAAUCAGUCGUCUGCAUUCUACCACCCAAGUAGGAGGAGUAAAACUGGCCCAGCUUCUAAGGAGCCAUUUCAAGGUCCCCCACCCUCAGGACUUAGCUAACCAACCAGCUCUCCAGUGUAUGGCUGGUGGUCAGUCUCUCCAAAAGGUACAAGACAUUAUCCAGCCACUUGUCUGGGGAGCUCACCCCAAUCCAGUUCCUGACCAGAUGGGGCCCUGCCACUCUUUCCAGCUGGGUGACCUGGUGUACGUUAAAAGGUUUCAGAAAGAAGGACUCACUCCUGCCUCGAAAGGACCUCAUACCGUCUGAAAGUGGACAGCUCUGAAAGUGGAUGGCAUUCCAGCUUGGAUUCAUCACUCUCACAUCAAAAAGGCCAACAGAGCCCCAAAAAAAUAUGGAUCCCCAAGCCUGGGCCAGGCCUCUUAAAACUGCGCCUAAGUCAGGUGAAGCCAUCAGAUUAAUUCUUCUUAUUUACCUUUACUGUCUGUUUCUGCCUAGUAUGUCCUCUACUCCAUCCUACUCUUUCCUCCUCACUUCUUUCACGACAGGACGUGUGUUUGCAAACACUACUUGGAAGGCAGGAACCUCCAAAGAAGUUUUUGAUUUAUGUGCUUUGUUCCCAGAGCCUGCCCAUACCCACGAAGAACAACGCAACCUGCUGGUCAUAAGAGUGGGGAACAUCAACGUUGCUGCGGGAUUUGGACACUGGAAGCCAGAAUGGAUGUGGAAACUCCAAAGGUGCAGAAAAAGGACUUCAGAAUGUUGACUUUUGCCUCUGUCCUGGAAAUCACCCUGACUCUAGUUGUUGAGAUUCUUACCAGUUUUUCUGCCCUGACUGGACAUGUGUAACUUUGGCCACCUACUCUAGGGGAUCAACCUGAUCUUCAACCCUUUCCAUAGCUCACGCUUCCCGACCUAAGCUGUGUACUAGAAAAAAUUGCAAUCCUCUCACUAUAACCGUCCAUAACCCUAAUUUAGCUCAAUUGUAUUAUGGCUUGUCAUGAGGAUUAAGGCUUUAUAUCCUGGGAUUUGAUGUUGGAACUAUGUUCAGCAUCCAAAAGAAAAUCCUAGUCUCAUGGAGCCCUCCUAAGCCAAUCGAGCCUUUAACUGAUGUAGGUGACCCUGUGUUCCCAAAACGCCCAGGCAGGGCUGAUUUAACUGUCCUGCUGCCAUUCCUCAUUCCCAAACCUCAGCUGCAAUGAUUGCACCUCCAACCCUGCCUGAUGUCCUUUCUAGGUGGGGUACAUCACCUCCUCAAUCUCACCUAGCCUAAACUAGCCCAAGAUUGUUGGUUAUCCCUAAAGUCCAACCGCCCAUAUUAUGUUGGAUUAGGAGUAGAAGCCACACUUAAAAAUUGGCUCUCUUUCUUGUCAUAUAUGCCCCCAUGCCCUCACAUUAGGAGAUGUGUCUGGAAAUGCUUCUUGUUUAAUUAGCACCAGAUAUAACUUAUCUGCUUCUCCCUUUCAGGCCACCUGUAAUCAGUCUCUACUUACUUCCUUAAGUGCCUCAGUCUUCUACCAGGCACUUAACAAUACCUGGUUAGCCUGCACUUCAGGUCUCACAUGCUGCAUCAAUAGAACUGAAUCAGGACCUCUCCUGUGUAUGUUGGUUCAUGUGCUCCCCCAGGUCUACAUGUAUAGUGGGCCAGAAGGACAACUUCUCAUCGCUUCCCCUGAAUUACAUUCCAAGUUUUGCCAAGCAGCCCCACUCUUCGUACCCCUUCUGGCUGGCCUUAGCAUAGCUGGAUCAGCAGCCAUUGGCAUGGCUGCCCUGUUUCAGGGAGAAACUGGGCUAAUGUCCCUAUCUCAACAAGUAGAUGCUGAUUUAAGCAGUCUCCAAUCAGCCAUAAAAAUACCACAUACCCAA